UUACACCCAUUUAGGGGUAAGGAGUUGAUAUCAGGCACAAUAAUUUGCCCAUAACAUCUAGCCUCGCCACUCCCACAAGGGUCUUCAGCAGUGAUUAAUAUUAAAAAUAAACGUAAGUUUGAUUUAGUUAGUGAAAAUAGAGCCGGCUAAUCUGGUGCCAGCCGCCGCGGUUAAACCAUGAGGCUCAAAUUGAUUACUAUCGGCGUAAAGCGUGAUUAAAGAUAUUAUAUUAUUAAGAUUAAACUUUGAUUAAGCCGUCAAAAGCUAAUUCUAAAGAAAACCAUACUUCGAAAGAUAUCUUAAUUUACCAACUUGAAUUCACGGUAACUAGGACACAAACUGGGAUUAGAUACCCCAUUAUGCCUAGUCAUAAACUUUAAAUUACUUUAUCACUUCGCCUGGGAACUACGAGCAAAGCUUAAAACCCAAAGGACUUGACGGUACCCUAUAUAUCCUAGAGGAGCCUGUUCUAUAAUCGAUAAUCCACGUUUUACCUAACCAUUUUUAGCUAAUCAGUCUGUAUACUUCCGUCGUCAACUUACCGCAUGAGCGAAAAGUAAGUAUAAUGUUAUUACAUCAAUACGUCAGGUCAAAGUGCAGCUUAUAAAAUGGUAAAAAAUGGGCUACAUUUUCUAAAAUAGAAAAUACGAAAAAUUAUGUGAAAUCAUAAUUAGAAGGCGGAUUUAGAAGUAAAAAGAAAUUAGCAUAUUCUUUUUAAUUUGUUCGGGGUGUGUACACACCGCCCGUCACCCUCUUCAACAAUAUUUAUAUUAGUACCUAACACAUGCUAAAAACUAGAAGAGGUAAGUCGUAACAUGGUAAGUAUACCGGAAGGUGUACUUGGAAA
rnacentral:ncRNA from 1 species